AAAACAAGAGCAACCAGAGAUUUCUGACACCUACAAAUCCAGAUCUGGAUCACCUCCGAAAUUCAGUGGAGUCAUCCAUGUCCUAAUAUCUAUAUGUGGUGCAAAUUUGGUGAGAAUCCAUGAAGGAGUUUUGACAUAAUUUAAACUACUCCUCCAAAG